rnacentral:rRNA from 1 species
ACGGAGGGUGCAAGCGUUGUCCGGAAUCAUUGGGCGUAAAGAGUUCGUAGGUGGUAUGUUAAGUCUGGUGUUAAAGGCAGAAGCUCAACUUCUGUAAGGCACUGGAUACUGGCAAACUUGAAUGUGGUAGAGGUAAAGGGAAUUCCUGGUGUAGCGGUGAAAUGCGUAGAUAUCAGGAGGAACAUCGGUGGCGAAAGCGCUUUACUGGGCCAUUAUUGACACUGAGGAACGAAAGCCGGGGUAGCAAAUGGGAUUAGAUACCCCAGUAGUCCCGGCCGUAAACGAUGGAUACUAGGUGUUGCGGGUAUCGACCCCUGCAGUGCCAUAGCUAACGCGAUAAGUAUCCCGCCUGGGGAGUACGCACGCAAGUGUG